rnacentral:lncRNA from 1 species
UGACAGGAAAGAAUUUCACACCAGUCAAAGGCAUAGAUGGAGGUUUAUUUAGGAAAGUGCUUACACAUUCAAGGAAGAAUGGGGACCAUCUCAAGUGCGAUGCCUCUGUGGGUAGAGCAAGGAAUCCGCAUGCAGGGGAGAACGCAGACCAUCUUGGGAGUGAGAGAUGCAUUUUGAGGAUUGCCAGCUCUUCUUUUAAAGGAAACUCGGUGAGGAAGAGCACGUGGGAACACUGCAGUCUGGUAAUCUCAGGACAGAUUCCGGUGGUCUGGUCGGUCUCCGAAUCCACAGGCUGAUGUGGUCUUCAUUAUCUGAUCAAUAGACAGUGCCUGAAAGUCCUCAGAAUUAUAGGCUUCUCAAGACAUGAUAGUUCUUUUUGAUUA